GGCCUCUCUGAGGCUCCUUGAUGAGAAUUGAAGCUCACUGGAAAAGUGAAGAAAAUCUCUGCAAUAAAGGCACACCAGACUACCAUAAUUGGGUUCAUGGAUUUCCUGGUAACCUGCUAAGAAUCUAGUUAAAACUAUCUACUGGACUAUGUACACAUGGCCUGUCCUGGGAUACCUCUGAAGAUGAUGAAUGGAUUCCACAGGUGUGUACCCCAAGAAGAGCUACAGCAAGGCAGAAAUCACCUCCUUUGAUGUGCUAACUUUAGAAGUAAUCCAUUGUCACAUCCACUGCAUUCUAUACCCCAAGACAGUCACCACAUUCUAUCCAAUUUCAAGAUGAUGGAAUGAAGAAAUGUCAUUAUCACAUUGUAAGAAUAGCAUGCAAGAUGGGAUGUAUAUUUGUAUGGACAACUUUGGAAAUGCAAUCUGCCACGGUUUGCUUCAGGCCACAAUAAUUCACAACCCUAGCACAUGCAAAAUGCACCAUUCCUCUCUUGAAACCUUAAAGUUUUAUUACAGAAUCAGCUCAAAGUCCGGAUCUUGUCAUUUGAAUCAGGUCCAGGAGCAUAUGAGGCUCCUCAGAUGCACUUCUUUAACUAUAGCCCCUCAACUAUACUCUUCUGCAUCUAAAGACUGUGAACCAAGCAGAAAAGUUAUCUAAUACUCUCAACUCUCAAUAAUGGGACAACAUGGAAUACAUCUAAGGGUGUCCCUAUUCAUAAAAGGGGGACAUGGCAAAAACACAUUGCCCUCACUCUUCCAUAGGAGUUCUAAAGUUUGAA
ensembl:lncRNA